rnacentral:lncRNA from 1 species
CUAACCUUCAACCUAAAUGUCCUAGAAGAGUAUGAAUUCAGGACACUUGGUGGGCAAUGGCGGGGCGGAGUGGGGGUGGGGAAAGACUUCGGUCAGCGAGAAGAGGAAAGAAAGCAGAAAAAGCCAAGGCCAAGGCCUAGGGGCGGAGAGGGGGUAGAGGGUGUUGUAGACCCUCCCUUAUAACCAGAGAAAGGCAAACUCUAACCGCAGGGAGGUGAUGCCACUCGUGGGCAGUCAGAUUGGAGAAGAGCGAGAUGAUUGAUUGACAGGGAGGUGCGCGCUGUGGCCCAGCGCACAAACAGGCGGUUGUCCGUGCUUGUGCACGAGGCGGAAGUGGGGCGCUCCUGCUGCACUGGCCGCCGGAGUUGGGGGCGAGCUCGGCGGUGACGUGGGGUGCUCACGUGAUCGCGAGCUGCAGAGCGACGCAGCCUUCGGUGCAGUCGUCACUCCUGUCUGGGUACCAGCUCCCCACUCCCCUGCGCACGGCGGGUUGGCAUCAGGCCCGCAGCAAGCGGAGCAGGUCUGCCGAACCAAGUGUGGCGGCGGCGCACUCGUGGCGAGGAUCAGAAGGAGCAAGAGACAGCAAGGAUAGGCCCAGGUCAGUGCCGGGAACAGUGCAGGGAGGAAGGGGACUGGUGCACAGCCCAGCCUGAGAUCCCUUGCUAACUUCCCCAGACCCCAUGCCCCGUCCUCCAUUUUGGUGCCUGCUGCGCUCUGGGAAAGAAUCCUGGGAAAAGAAAAAUGGUGGGCUUUGGGUUUGAGGGAGGGAGGAAAAGGAGAGCGCUGGGAAAGAGGUCAAAUUGAAGGCUCCCCAGAAGGAGCACGAAGCGCCUGAGGUGGGAAAAAAAAAAUUUUUUUUUUAAUCUUUACUAUCAGAACUCUGAAUCCUGCUGGUCAGUGCACCAAGCAUUCAGUGUCUCUCCUUGCCUUUGUCUUACUUGUUCAAAGAAAAAUAACCGGGGGAAAAAAAUCUCAUCAUGGCUAAUA